GACAGCAGACCAUGGGACUUCUCCGCCUCCAUAAUCAUAGCUGGACUGCAGUGCUGUACCUUGCCAGCAGAGAAGGCUGUCUAGCACACAUCAGCCUGAAACCAGGAGAGGUUGUUAUAUUCCACUGCUUGGAUUCCAAAUCUUGGAGAAACUGAUUUGUGGCUGUUUACCACUCUGCCAUCUUCCUGGAACUCCUUCACCUUGACAAACUGGGAUUGAGUCCUGCCUCUGCUACUCAGUGAUUUCUUCAAGCUUCACUUUAAUGGUUCCUAUCUAUAAUGUGGAGAUAAUAAAGCCUAUUUGCUCUAGUCAUAUAUUUAUAUAUUACCAAGCAUCUCAAGAUUUAGUACUCAAAACAACAGCCAUUUUAUUAUAUCUCAUAAUUUGAGG
rnacentral:lncRNA from 1 species